GUCGGGCAGCAGUGAGUGAGUGCUGGGCUGGGUGAGUGAGUGCUGGGCUGGGUAAGUGAGUGCUGGGCUGGGUGAGUGAGUCCUGGGCUGGGUGAGUGCUGUGCUGUGUUGGGUGAGUGCUGUGCUGUGUUGAGUGAGUGCUGUGCUGGGUGAGUGAGUGCUGUGCUGGGUGAGUGAGUGCUGGGCUUGGUGAGUGAGUGCUGGGCUGUGGUGAGUGAGUGCUGGGCUGUGGUGAGUGAGUGCUGGGCUGGGUGAGUGAGUGCUGGGCUGGGUGAGUGCUGUGCUGUGUUGAGUGAGUGCUGUGCUGGGUGAGUGAGUGCUGUGCUGGGUGAGUGAGUGCUGGGCUUGGUGAGUGAGUGCUGGGCUGUGGUGAGUGAGUGCUGGGUUGGGUGAGUGAGUGCUGUGCUGUGGUGAGUGCUGUGCUGUGAUGAGUGAGUCGUGGGCUGGGUGAGUGUGUGCUGGGCUGUGGUGAGUGUGUGCUGGGCUGGGUGAGUGCUGGGCUGAAUGAGUGAGUGCUGGGCUGUGGUGAGUGAGUAUCUGGGUGAGUGAGUGUCGGGCUGUGGUGAGUGAGUGCUGGGCUGUGUGAGUGCUGGGCUGUGGUGAGUGAGUGCUGGGCUGUGGUCAGUCAGUGCUGGACUGGUGAGUGAGUGCUAGGCUCUGUGAGUGAGUCUUGGGCUGGCUGAGUGCUGGGCUGGGUGAGAGUACUGGGCUGGGUGAGUGAGUCCUGGGCUGGGUGAGUGAUGAGUGCUGGGCUGGGUGAGUGAGUCCUGGGCUGGGUGAGUGAGUCCUGGGCUGGGUGAGUGAGUGCUUGGCUGUGGUGAGUGAGUGUCGGGCUGUGGUGAGUGCGUACUGGGCUGUGGUGACUGCUUGGCUGGGUGAGUGAGUGCUGGGCUGUGGUGAGUCAGUGCUGGGCUGGGUGCUAGGCUGUGGCGAGUGAGUGCUGAGCUGUGGUGAGUGAGUGCUGGGCUGGGUGAGUGAGUGCUCGGCUGGGUGGUGGGCUGUGGUAAGUGAGUGUCGGGCUGUGGUGAGUGAGUGUCGGGCUGUGGUGAGUGAGUGCUGGGCUGGGUGAGUGAGUGCUGUUCCGAGUGUCAGGCUAUGGUGAAUGAGUGCUGGGCUCCGUGAGUGAGUUCUGGGCUGGGUGAGUGACUGCUUGGCUGUGGUGAGUGAGUGUCGGGCUGUGGUGAGUGCGUACUGGGCUGUGGUGACUGCUUGGCUGGGUGAGUGAGUGCUGGGUUGCGGUGAGUCAGUGCUGGGCUGUGGUGAGUGCUGGGCUGGGUGCUGGGCUGUGGUGAGUGCUGGGCUGGGUGCUGGGCUGUGGUGAGUGAGUGCUGGGCUGGGUGAGUGAGUGCUGGGCUGAGUGAGUGAGUGCUGGGCUGUGGUGAGUGCUGAGCUGUGUUGAGUGAGUGCUGGGCUGGGUUAGUGCUGGGCUGUGGUGAGUGAGUGCUGGGCUGGGUGAGUGCUGGGCUCUGGUGAGUGAAUGCUGGGCUGGGUGAGAGUCCUGGGCUGGUUGAGUGAAUCCUGGGCUGGGUGAGUGCUGGGCUUGGUGAGUGAGUGCUGGGCUCGAUGAAUGAGUCUUGGGCUGGGUGGGUGCGGGGCUCGGUGAGUGAGUGCUGGGCUGGAUGAGUGAGUCCUGGGCUGUGGUGAGUGAGUGCUGGGCUAUGGUGAGUGAGUGCUGGGCUGGGUGCUGGGCUGUGGUGAGUGAGUGCUGGGCUGGGUGAGUCAUUGCUGGUCCGAGUGUCAGACUGUCGUGAAUGUGUGCUGGGCUUAGUGAGUGAGUGAGUGCUGGGCUCGGCGAGUGAGUCCUGGGCUGGGUAAGUGAGUGCUGGGCUGUGGUGAGUGAGUGUCAGGCUGUGGUGAGUGAGUACUGGGCUGUGGUGAGUGAGUUUGGGGCUGUGGUGAGUGAGUUUGGGGCUGUGGUGAGUGAGUGUUUGGCUGGGUGAGUGAGUGGUGGGCGGGGUGGGUGCUGGGAGCGUCACUCCUGAUUGCCUGUGCAUGGCGGAGGCCGUGUGUUUGCUUGCUUCCACGUGCGGUGAAGUGUGUGGCUGUUUAAGUGAAAUAAUAGGGUAGCUGUCUCAAAGAAUACAAAAAUUUAAAAACACAAAAUUCUAGUCUUUUUUUUUUUGAGAUGG